rnacentral:tRNA from 1 species
GGGCCGUUAGCUCAGUUGGCAGAGCACCGGACUUUUAAUCCGGGUGUCCCGGGUUCGAGUCCCGGACGGCUCA